AAGAAGACGACAAAUAAGAAUGGUAUUAAGUUGGUAGAAUGGAACUCCUUCCUGAUUCCUGCACAUGUAAGUUACCAGAUACUCUUGAGGGACCAAUUUAAGGGCAAACAGACAAACGUUUUGAUGCAAAGAAAGCAUUGGAUUUGAAAGUUCCCAUGGAGAAGAAAAAUGGAGAGAUUCUAAAAGUAUGAAGAUACUCCUGUGUAUAAUGAGGAAAUCUUGUCAGUGAAUGUUGUUGCAAUUGUGGACCAGGCCAGAGUUGUACUAAACCAACUAAGACACAAUGAGAUACAGGAAUGACACAAUGAGAAACAGGAAACAGGAAAGUGAUGACUGAUCGCCACCUGUUACAAAUUCAUCUAGAAAACUCCCAACAUCCAACAAGAGACAGUCUGACUUCAAAAUCUUCAUUGAAGGCAACUUAAUGGACAAGACAUCCGUCACAUAAAGAUUCACUAAAAUUGGAAUGAUAUACCAAUUUUAACUUUUAACAGACAAAUACAUUAUAGAUUUGAAAAUAGAUUACCCUUAGAUAAGUUGGAUGAUUAACAUUUACCUCAACACAGUACAAAGUGCUCAUGUUGAACUAUUGUGAUUGAUCAUAGUCUGUCCUUCAUUUUUAUUAACAGUUUCAUACAGUGUUAACACUUUAGUAUGGGGACUCAUUUUUAGCUCAACU